GACGAACGCUGGCGGCGUGCCUAAUACAUGCAAGUAGAACGCUGAAGGAGGAGCUUGCUUCUCUGGAUGAGUUGCGAACGGGUGAGUAACGCGUAGGUAACCUGCCUGGUAGCGGGGGAUAACUAUUGGAAACGAUAGCUAAUACCGCAUAAGAGUAGAUGUUGCAUGACAUUUGCUUAAAAGGUGCAAUUGCAUCACUACCAGAUGGACCUGCGUUGUAUUAGCUAGUUGGUGGGGUAACGGCUCACCAAGGCGACGAUACAUAGCCGACCUGAGAGGGUGAUCGGCCACACUGGGACUGAGACACGGCCCAGACUCCUACGGGAGGCAGCAGUAGGGAAUCUUCGGCAAUGGACGAAAGUCUGACCGAGCAACGCCGCGUGAGUGAAGAAGGUUUUCGGAUCGUAAAGCUCUGUUGUAAGAGAAGAACGAGUGUGAGAGUGGAAAGUUCACACU
rnacentral:rRNA from 1 species